UCUUUAAGAGAGAAUGUUCACAAUGGAGAACAGCAGCAAGAGUUAGAAGACUUUAAAAAGGAAGCUGUUAAUGCAGCAGUAAAACUUGGCCAGACUCCAAAGUUCACAAGACAAAGGCAAUGACUUUCUUAUUCCCCGUCAUGUAUCCAGUGAUGACUGUGCUGCCUGGAAGCUGCUUGUCUGGAAAUGGUGUUCAUCCUACAAGACUCAACUGAUGGACGUUUUUUUCCAAGUCUCAAGUUCAGUUUCAUCUCUGCAUUCCUCUCAUACCUUUGAAAGACUUGCAUUAUGGAAUUUAUCACAGUCUGUGCAGAAUGGCAUCGGCCUGGGUCAGAGAUCACACUCCACGAGGCUGGCAAGUGGCAUUAGUGAGGCAUUUUCCGGCAGGUCUAGCUGAAUGCUCUGGGCAGAGCAGCCUCUAGAUGGCAUAGACUGUUUUGAGAACUCCUUACUUGUCAUGGAAAGCCCGGGACCAUGAAACAGCUGUUUGGCUAAGUUCUGGAAUUAUGAGUAUGUGUUAGAAGACAUGAACUCAGACUGUAAUUGGGGUUCAGGCAAAUGCAAAUUUGAUUGAAGAAUUGCGUGUUUCUCCGGAGAGACUCAGUUAGAGGAAGAGACUGGAGCUUCCCAAGAGAAAAUCACCUGUUAGUGGAGUCAGCGUGCCUGUAGUGGUAUUGAAAUGUUGGAAGGAGUCAUGGCUGCCUGUGAUCAGGAGACUCUGCCCGAGUGGGCCACGUCCGGCCAUCCCUGCUCUGUCCUGGGAAAGAGACUACUGUGAAAUAGAAUGCCUUGUGCCCCUAGGGCCCUGAAGCCUCUGCUGUAGAAAACACCCUGAAAGAAUGGGUUAGACUCAGAAGCGCACAGUCUGUGCCUCAUUGGGGGUCUGGCAGGCAUAAGUGGAGAGACACGACGGCAGCAGACUGUGGAGGUCCAUGGAGCCGAAAGAUGGGGCAAGUGCAAAACCUGAAUGGAGGAAGCCUUGGGAGAAGCCCCCCUCCAUCUCUUCCCACUUGGCUGGCCAUCCAACUGAUUCCUGGAGGGCCCGCCUGUGAAGACUUCACUUCCUUGGUCGGUCUGAGCUCCUAGGAUGUAAGGUGUGGCUCCUGGUGUGGUACCCAGA